AUAAUGAUACUUCCGUACAGCCUUAGUCCGUGUGAUGAUGUAGCACCGCUGGCAAAGGGUACGGCUGGAUGAGAACCAUGCAGGGGUGAGAUUCCCAUGA
rfam:Clostridium difficile 630 complete genome